UACGAAGGGGGCUAGCGUUGUUCGGAAUCACUGGGCGUAAAGGGCGCGUAGGCGGCUUUGUAAGUCGGGGGUGAAAGCCUGUGGCUCAACCACAGAAUUGCCUUCGAUACUGCAUAGCUUGAGACCGGAAGAGGUUAGUGGAACUGCGAGUGUAGAGGUGAAAUUCGUAGAUAUUCGCAAGAACACCAGUGGCGAAGGCGGCUGACUGGUCCGGAUCUGACGCUGAGGCGCGAAAGCGUGGGGAGCAAACAGG
rnacentral:rRNA from 1 species